AUCCUUUAAAACUGGCGUCAUUGCUUCUAUAUUAAAGAUGCUGGUUCGCCAGCUAUGGCGAUAAACGUGCUGUAGAAUAAGCAGAGCGGACCCGGGGGCGGUACCCGGCGCCUCCACCAUUUUAGCCCGAAACGACGGCCAUCACGGCCAGCAGAGGAAUUUGGGCUAAAAGAUUGGGGGCGAAAUAGGAUCGACGCAUGUGGUAAAGGCAGUAUUUUUGCUCGGUAUGGUACCCGCCGUUAUCGGGCCAUGUAGUAGUUGCAAAUGACAACACUGCUCCGGUAGCAAUCGCAGC
rnacentral:tmRNA from 1 species